rnacentral:rRNA from 1 species
UACGUAGGGUGCGAGCGUUGUCCGGAAUUACUGGGCGUAAAGAGCUCGUAGGUGGUUUGUCGCGUUGUCCGUGAAAACUCACAGCUUAACUGUGGGCGUGCGGGCGAUACGGGCAGACUGGAGUACUGCAGGGGAGACUGGAAUUCCUGGUGUAGCGGUGAAAUGCGCAGAUAUCAGGAGGAACACCGGUGGCGAAGGCGGGUCUCUGGGCCGAUACUGACGCUGAGGAGCGAAAGCGUGGGGAGCAAACAGG